AAGCUCGUAGUUGAAUUUCGGGAUCAAAUUGUCGGUCGUGCCUCGGUACGUACUGGCGUUAUUGGUUCCUCCCUUCUGAAGAACCACGAUGUCAUUAAUUUGGUGUCGCGGGGAAUCAGGACUGUUACUUUGAAAAAAUUAGAGUGUUUAAAGCAGGCUCGCGCUUGAAUACAUUAGCGUGGAAUAAUGAAAUAGGACGUUUGAUUCUAUUUUGUUGGUUUCUAGGAUCGACGUAAUGAUUAAUAGGGAUAGUUGGGGGCAUUAGUAUUCAAUUGUCAGAGGUGAGAUUCUUGGAUUUAUUGAAGACUAACUACUGCGAAAGCAUUUGCCAAGGAUGUUUUCAUUAAUCAAGAACGAAAGUUAGGGGAUCGAAGACGAUCAGAUACCGUCGUAGUCUUAACCAUAAACUAUGCCGACUAGGGAUCGGAUGAUGUUAAUUUUUUAAUGACUCAUUCGGCGCCUUACGGGAAACCAAAGUGUUUGGGUUCCGGGGGGAGUAUGGUCGCAAGUCUGAAACUUAAAGGAAUUGACGGAAGGGCACCACAGGCGUGGAGCCUGCGGCUUAAUUUGACUCAACACGGGGAAACUUACCAGGUCCAGACAUAGCAAGGAUUGACAGACUGAGAGCUCUUUCUUGAUUCUAUGGGUG
rnacentral:rRNA from 1 species